rnacentral:tRNA from 1 species
GGGGAUUUAGCUGAGUGGCUCAAGCGCUUGUCUGGUAAGCACGAGAUCGUGAGUUCAAUCCCCA